rfam:Blumeria graminis f. sp. hordei DH14, WGS project CATH01000000 data, contig: 000727
ACUCCAGUGACGCAGUGGUUAGCGUGUCGUUCUUAUAUCGGUGAUCGUUUGAUACCAAUAUGAUCAGCAUAAGCAAUGCGAAAGUCGUGGGUUCGACACCCACCUGGAGUA